rnacentral:tRNA from 1 species
ACGGAGGCGAGGACAUGGCGGCGGUGAUCCGCGCGUUGGAGGCCCGGUCCGCGAGCUGAGUGGUGCGGUGCCGGCGUUCGACCCGCUGGCCCCAGUA